UACAGAGGGUGCGAGCGUUGUUCGGAAUCACUGGGCGUAAAGCGCGCGCAGGCGGGCGUGUAAGUCAGAAGUGAAAUUCCGGGGCUCAACCCCGGAGCUGCUCCUGAUACUGCAGGUCUGGAGGCCGGUAGAGGCUGGUGGAAUUCCCGGUGUAGCGGUGGAAUGCGUAGAUAUCGGAAGGAACAUCAGUGGCGAAAGCGGCUUCCUGGACCAGCACCGACGUUCAGGCACGAAAGCGUGGGGAGCAAACAGG
rnacentral:rRNA from 1 species